ACGAACGCUGGCGGCGUGCUUAACACAUGCAAGUCGAGCGAGAAAGGGGGGGGCAACUCCCCUGAGUAAAGCGGCGCACGGGUGAGUAACGCGUGGGUAACCUACCCUCAGGCGGGGGAUAACUACUCGAAAGGGUGGCUAAUACCGCAUGAGACCACGGGGUCCUUGGACCCUGAGGCCAAAGGCUGCAUCGGCUUGCCGGUGUAGUCACCGGGGGAUGGGCCCGCGUCCGAUUAGCUAGUUGGUGAGGUAACGGCCCACCAAGGCUACGAUCGGUAGCUGGUCUGAGAGGAUGAUCAGCCACACUGGAACUGGAACACGGUCCAGACUCCUACGGGAGGCAGCAGUGAGGAAUAUUGCGCAAUGGGGGAAACCCUGACGCAGCAACGCCGCGUGGGUGAAGAAGGCCUUCGGGUCGUAAAGCCCUUUCGGACGGGACGAAAUUUCCGCGGGGUCAAGCCGCGGAAACUGACGGUACCGUAGGAAGAAGCACCGGCUAACUCCGUGCCAGCAGCCGCGGUAAUACGGAGGGUGCAAGCGUUGUUCGGAAUUACUGGGCGUAAAGCGCGUGUAGGUGGACUGAUCAGUCGGAUGUGAAAUAUCCAGGCUUAACCUGGGGGCUGCAUUCGAUACGGUCAGUCUUGAGUGCAGGAGAGGGCAGUGGAAUUCCCAGUGUAGCGGUGAAAUGCGUAGAUAUUGGGAGGAACACCAGUGGCGAAGGCGGCUGCCUGGACUGUAACUGACACUGAGGCGCGAAAGCGUGGGGAGCAAACAGGAUUAGAUACCCUGGUAGUCCACGCCGUAAACGAUGGGUACUAGGUGUAGGAGGUAUCGACCCCUUCUGUGCCGGAGUUAACACAAUAAGUACCCCACCUGGGGAGUACGGCCGCAAGGUUGAAACUCAAAGGAAUUGACGGGGGCCCGCACAAGCGGUGGAGCAUGUGGUUUAAUUCGACGCAACGCGAAGAACCUUACCAGGUCUUGACAUCUUUCUGAAUGGGGUAGAGAUAUUCCAGGCCUUCGGGACAGAAGGACAGGUGGUGCAUGGUUGUCGUCAGCUCGUGUCGUGAGAUGUUGGGUUAAGUCCCGCAACGAGCGCAACCCUUGUUGCUAGUUGUCAGCACGUAAUGGUGGACCCUCUAGCGAUACUGCCGGUGACAAACCGGAGGAAGGUGGGGAUGACGUCAAAUCAUCAUGCCCUUUAUGACCUGGGCUACACACGUGCUACAAUGGCCUAUACAAAGGGAAGCAAGACCGCGAGGUGGAGCAAAUCCCAUAAAGUAGGUCUCAGUUCGGAUCGCAGGCUGCAACUCGCCUGCGUGAAGUCGGAAUCGCUAGUAAUCGCGGAUCAGAAUGCCGCGGUGAAUACGUUCCCGGGCCUUGUACACACCGCCCGUCACACCACGAAAGUCUGCAACACCCGAAGCCGGUGGAGUAACCGCAAGGAGCAAGCCGUCGAAGGUGGGGCCGAUGAUUGGGGUGAAGUCGUAACAAGGUAGCC
rnacentral:rRNA from 1 species